rnacentral:rRNA from 1 species
AACGCGAAGAACCUUACCUGGGCUUGACAUGGAUUUCUAAGCACGUGAAAGGGUGUGACCCUUCGGGGGACUUCCACAGGUGCUGCAUGGGCGUCGUCAGCUCGUGUCGUGAGAUGUUGGGUUAAGUCCCGCAACGAGCGCAACCCUUGUGACUAGUUGCCAGCGCGUUAAGGCGGGAACUCUAGUCAGACUGCCCAGAUCAACUGGGAGGAAGGUGGGGAGGACGUCAGGUCAUUAUGGCCCUUACGCCCAGGGCUGCACACGUACUACAAUGCCCAGUACAAUGAGAACCGAAACCGCGAGGUGGAGGAAAUCUGGAAAACUGGGCCCAGUUCGGAUUGGAGGCUGCAACUCGCCUCCAUGAAGUUGGAAUCGCUAGUAAUGGCGCAUCAUCUACGGCGCCGUGAAUACCUUCCCGGGUCUUGUACACACCGAA